CCACUGCAACAUUAUAGACAAAGACGAAAUAUGGCAUCGUGCACUUGCUUUAAAGUUAUAUGAGCCUUUACUCACCGAUGGAGAUGCAGUGAAACUGUCGUGGGUCUGGGACAGAGUACGCAGCCUGGUAUAUCCCGGGUCCGUGGCUGAGGUUGAUGUUGUUGGAUGAAGCGUGUUGCCUGGACAGAGCUGAGUGACAGUACUGCGUGCUGAAGGGAGAAAAAGACUUGAGGAGCGGCAGAGUCGGUGGGGACGGGUGGAGCUGGGACGCGGUCAUGCACAGCGGGCAGAAGCACAGAAGACCGGCUUUCCUGGAGUGGCACGAGCCUGUGAGCCCGUGCGGUUGGUGCGGAGAGUGCACGGCGUACGGGAAUAAAGGAGAACGUGGGAGUUUUCCGUGGUUACCUUGAAAUGAGGGGUAAAGAUAACACCAGGAACAGAGGUUUAAUGGACUAAUGCAAAGGUGCAGCUCACAGGAGUGAGAGGAGGCGGCCCCUCAUCUCUCCCACCUCUUCACGCUGCUCAGCGAGAGAAAGGGAGGAGUGUAAAUGAGUGCACUCCAGAAAGCCAUCACCUGCUCCCUCCACCCUUAAAUCCCCACUAACUCUGCCAGACAGAGAUAUCCUCCAACCCCAGCUCAAACUUCUCCACCUCUCAGUAACGGGCUGAAGGAGGAAGACAAGAGGAACUACGGAUUUUAACCAAUUGCAUCUAUGCAGUGAUUCAUUUUUUAAUAAAUCUUUCAUUUUCAUUUGGAGUGUUUCAUCGGCAGCAAAGUGUACAUUUGUCACGCUCAUAGAGGUAACUAUAUUGGGCUGGACGAAGCUUUGAGUUUGUGUGUAGAGAGAGCCCAAGGGUGAGGCUGUGUAUUGAUGGGUGCCCCUCCCAGCUUCUCCCAGAUUCCCCCUCUAUUGUGGCUUUGAGUGAAUGUAUCCUCUUGCUAAGGGCACUGGAAUGUCUCUUCUCAACCCGUGUGAUGGAUGGGGCCUUGUUUUGCACUCCUCCGCCCCUCCCUCUGAAUCCCUCUUUCUCUCCCUCAGCCUUUGACUCUUUCAUCACAUCCUUUUAUUUGGCACCAA